UACGGGGGGGGUAAGCUUUGUUCGGAAUUACUGGGCGUAAAGGGCUCGUAGGCGGCCAACUAAGUCAGACGUGAAAUCCCUCAGCUCAACUGGGGAACUGCGUCUGAUACUGGUCGGCUUGAGUGCAGGAGAGGAACGCGGAAUUCCAGGUGUAGCGGUGAAAUGCGUAGAUAUCUGGAGGAACACCGGUGGCGAAGGCGGCGUUCUGGACUGCAACUGACACUGAGGAACGAAAGCCAGGGGAGCAAACGGG
rnacentral:rRNA from 1 species